CCUCCUUUCUAGGACGCAUAGGAUCGUAAAGACCUCCGCCGGCCUAGCCGGCCCAGAGGCCUUCUCAGUCCCAGCUUCCCAGGUCGAUCCGCUACAGGGCUCACGUCCUGCGGCGGCCACCAAUCUGUGAUCUACUUGCCCUUGAUUCCAACGGCAUCAUCUGCCCUCGCUGUCACUAUCCGAUCGUUAAAGGCUUCAAAGCCGAUCCGGGCCUUUAGCUCAGUUGGUUAGAGCGCAGCCCUGAUAAGGCUGAGGUCUCUGGUUCGAGUCCAGAAAGGCCCACCCGCUUAGAGCUAACAGCCAGGUGGGUUAAUAGCUAACUCGGGGAUGUAGCUCAAUCGGGAGAGCGCCUCCCUUGCACGGAGGAGGUCAGGGGUUCGAAUCCCCUCAUCUCCACCGCACUUUAACAACUUAAUAGAGCUUAUGCAUAGCCAAGAAAUUCCACUUCGAUUUUGCCCAAAUGAGGAGANGGAAGCGGCGGAAGAAGCUACUAAGGGCCUACGGUGGAUGCCUUGGCGU
rnacentral:tRNA from 1 species